rnacentral:rRNA from 1 species
CGGUGGGCUGGUUUUGGUAAGCAGAACGGGCGAUUCGGGAUGAACCGGAAGCGGGAGAAGGGCCCGAGAUUGCGUCGACGCGGAUCCCGAAAAGGGCGUCGAUCCGUCGCGACAGCGGGACGGUGGUCAUGGAAGUCGAAAAUCCGCUAAGAAGCGUGUAAAAAACGUACCCGCCCAACGGAUCGGCCCCGAAAAUUGAUGGCGCUCGAACGCAACCCUCGAACCCCGCCGACGGAGGCUAGGGGAGGCCCCGUCGAGUAGGCGGACGCGCGGGUCGCUUCGACGCUCCCGCGCGAGCGGGGGCGGAGCGGCCCGUGGUGUCAGAUCUUGGUGGUAGUAGCGAUCACCCAGGCGAGAACCCCUGAGGGCCGAAGUGGAGAAGGGUUUCUCGAGAACGGCA